rnacentral:misc_RNA from 1 species
UAACUUUUUAUCGUUUGAACAGGCGUAUUUUAUUACAAAGAACAAUGCUUACAAUAUGAAAACACAUAUAUUGUUAAUAUUCAGUUUAGUGUCUGUACGCUGUAUUAGAAAUGAUCCUACUGUCUAUACAAGAGCUAAAAGAGAUACAUCAGGAGCUCUUCACAUCUUGACUAACCACGCCCAGCCAAUCCACGCAGAUGUUAAACAAGAGAGAAACGGAGACACCAAUGAUAAAGUACUGCCACCAAGCAACGUUGGGUACGAGCUAAAAUCACUCAGAAAAUCCUCGCCACUCACAAAUAAAUUAGAUUUGAUCAGAAGCAUCAGUAGAGUGGCCACACUUUCUGUACUUUUAAUAUCCGCCAUUUUGGAAUUUUAUCCGAUGCUGCAGCAUUUGUAUUACACUAUUUAUAGUUUUGUUUAUUUUAAAUAAAUUAUAUGGAUACUUC